rnacentral:rRNA from 1 species
AUCCCCUAGUAACUGCGAGUGAAGCGGGAAAAGCUCAAAUUUGUAAUCUGGCGGCCUUCGGUCGUCCGAGUUGUAAUCUAGAGAAGUGCUUUCCGCGCUGGACCGUGUACAAGUCUCCUGGAACGGAGCGUCGUAGAGGGUGAGAAUCCCGUCUUUGACACGGACUACCAGUGCUCUGUGAUGCGCUCUCGAAGAGUCGAGUUGUUUGGGAAUGCAGCUCAAAAUGGGUGGUGAAAUUCCAUCUAAAGCUAAAUAUUGGCGAGGAGACCGAUAGCGAACAAGUACCCGUGAGGGAAAGAUGAAAAAGCACUUUGGAAAGAGAGUUAAACAGUACGUGAAAUUGUUGAAAGGGAAACGCUUGAAGUCAGUCGCGUUCGCCGAGACUCAGCCUUGCCUUCUGGCUUGGUGUACUUCUCGGUGGACGGGCCAGCAUCAAUUUUGACCGCCGGACAAGGGCGAGGGGAAGGUGGCACCUUCGGGUGUGUUAUAGCCCCUCGUCGCAUACGGAGGUCGGGAUUGAGGAACUCAGCACGCCUUUAUGGUCGGGGUUCGCCCACGUUCGUGCUUAGGAUGCUGGCGUAAUGGCUUUAAGCGACCCGUCUUGAAACACGGACCAAGGAGUCUAACAUGCCCGCGAGUGUUCGGGUGGAAAACCCGUGCGCGUAAUGAAAGUGAAAGUUGGGACCCCUGUCGUGGGGGGCACCGACGCCCGGACCAGACCUUCUGUGACGGAUCUGCGGUAGAGCGUGUAUGUUGGGACCCGAAAGAUGGUGAACUAUGCCUGAAUAGGGUGAAGCCAGAGGAAACUCUGGUGGAGGCUCGUAGCGAUUCUGACGUGCAAAUCGAUCGUCAAAUUUGGGGUAUAGGGGGCGAAAGACUAAUCGAACCAUUGCUUUGCUGCUCGGUGGUUAAUAGGCACCCCGAAAGGGGGUUGGCCUAGUGAGCGUUGAGGCUCGCGACACUAUCAAAUUUGCGGGGACGUCCUUAGAGCCUGUUCUACCGCCCUCCCCCACGGAAACGUAGGGGUUGUGCACCAGGGUAAUGACCUCGGGUAUGGUAAAAACGAACAUGGAUUGGACAAUCCGCAGCCAAGUCCUAAGGGCCUUCAAUUGACGUUGAAGCCUAUGGAUGCAGUUCACAGACUAAAUGGUAGUGGGUGCGUCGACUACGGUCGUUGUGCUUAAGAUAUAGUCGGUCCGCCGCGAGAGCGGUUCGGUAAAGGAGGAUGGGUGGCCCCUCAACUUUGAAGGCCCCCUUGUCCGGAGUUACCGAGUGGUUAGCGUGCAUGAACAAAAGUGCACUAUAGCC